rnacentral:rRNA from 1 species
UACGUAGGGGGCAAGCGUUGUCCGGAAUCAUUGGGCGUAAAGCGCGUGUAGGCGGUUCAGUAAGUCUGCUGUGAAAGUCCAGGGCUCAACCCUGGGAUGCCGGUGGAUACUGCUGGGCUAGAGUACGGAAGAGGCGGGUGGAAUUCCCGGUGUAGCGGUGAAAUGCGCAGAUAUCGGGAGGAACACCAAUUGCGAAGGCAGCUCGCUGGGACGUCACUGACGCUGAGACGCGAAAGCGUGGGGAGCAAACAGG